UGAAAUAUACACUGCAUUUACUUGUUUGUUCAGAUUCCUAUUUUUAUUAGAUGAAAGGGUUUUUAUUUUAACUUUGUAUAUGAUGAAACUUUUUGGUGCCCAAGGCUCUAGAAAAGGAAUAUUGUUGGAAAAGCCACUUCUGUGUGCAUGUGUGAGCAUUUUCUUCGUGUGCCUACAGGUCUGGAUGCAGAAAUCAUUCCUUUGAAAACAGCAAGCUGAAGAGAUUAAAAAUAGAUAGCGUGCCAAAGCUUCCCAAGGACUCAGGAGCUCUGGUGUCUCCUGCCCUGGUGGUGUCUGCAAGAACUGAUGGAUGCAGAAACCAGGCACCUGCUGAACCUCCACGUGCCCCUGUGUGUGAAGUCCACGCGUGAUGGGAAUAGCUACUUGCUAGAAACAAAAACGGCUUCAGUCUGUCAAUGACAACACCUUAGUGAAUGCGUGGUAGAAUGAGAAUAACUGGUUGUAAUCUGGGAUUCCCCCAAUUCAAGAUCUGAGCAUGGAAGAGGAGAUUUAAAAUAACACUAAGGGAAUUCCAGACACAGGCAAUUUUCAUCACAAACCAAGAGUUACCUGCUCUGAUCUCCAUGUUUCCAGCUAAGGUCUCUGAUAGUGGGUCACUGGUAGGAAGAGCCACUUGUUUAGAAGUUUAUAUGGUUAUAGAGUCAACUGUGAAAACUUAGUUUGUUUGUCUCUACCUGAACCCAGAUAAAUGUAUAAACAUAGAACAGUUUGGGUUGGAAGAGACCUUCGAAGUUCAUCCAGUUCAACCCACCUGCCAUGAGCAGGGACAUCUUCACCCAGCUCAGGUUUCUCAGAGCCCCGUCCAGCCUGGCCUGGGAUGUCUCCAGGGAUGGUUCAUCCACCACCUCUCUGGGCAACCUGGGCCAGUGUUUCACCACCUUCAUCACAAAAUAAAUUAUUUAUUCUGAAAUCUCCCCUCUUUUAGUUUAAAACUGUUACCUCUUGUCCUAUCACUACAGACCCUACUAAACCAUUCUCCUCCAAAGCUUGAGUGAAAACUGCUACUGGUGUCAGUGGGAGAGGAGCUAGAGUAACAUGAUGAUUUCUGAUAGCGUACAGAAAGUGUGGGACCUCAUGCUUUACUCUCCAUUCAUGUGGACAAAACUUCCUCAUCAAGUAGCCAUGUACAACAGGGAAACACCCAAAGGUAAAGCUUGAUUUGGAAGGUAUAUUUUAUGACAUCUGAAGCCAGCCUUGUUAAAGAUGCUUAAGGACCAGUCUAGUCAGUCUCAUUGUCUUUUAUUCACAGCGUCUGUGUUGAUAUAGGAGGUGGAGAGGAAAUACAAGAGAAUAAUCAGGAUAUAAAGGUUUGGAACUGAUGUAUGAAAAGUUACCAUUCCAUUCAGGAAAAAGAAAAAAUGAUUUGAUAUCCAAACAUACCAGGGCAUCAUGGCACAUGCCUUAAAGUGCGUGGAGCUCCUUGACUUUGGGAUACUACGCUUUGGGAUACUACACAGAAGAAUACUUUGAGGCUCAUUGGCUCUGCAGACACCAGACAAGUCCCCUGCACAGAGUGACUCCAAAGCAACAUGGAGCCGGAUUGCUCUGGAUCCCUUGUGGCACAGCUUCUGGGUUGAUGAACAGUGUGUGGCAAGAAGAAAGCAGCCGAAACCCCGUGUCUAUUUUUUUAAUGACCUGACGGUAACUUGGAGCCC